GGUUUAAUAUUCAAUUAUGAUUUUAGAUUGCAAAUCUAAAGGUAAAUUAUUUUUUAAGCCU
rnacentral:tRNA from 1 species